UGGGGAAUAUUGCACAAUGGGCGAAAGCCUGAUGCAGCAACGCCGCGUGAGUGAUGAAGGCCUUCGGGUUGUAAAGCUCUGUCUUCUGGGACGAUAAUGACGGUACCAGAGGAGGAAGCCACGGCUAACUACGUGCCAGCAGCCGCGGUAAUACGUAGGUGGCAAGCGUUGUCCGGAUUUACUGGGCGUAAAGGAUGAGUAGGCGGAUACUUAAGUCAGAUGUGAAAAUCCCGGGCUUAACUUGGGAACUGCAUUUGAAACUGGGUAUCUAGAGUGCGGGAGAGGACAGUGGAAUUCCUAGUGUAGCGGUGAAAUGCGUAGAGAUUAGGAAGAACACCAGUGGCGAAGGCGACUUUCCGGACCGUAACUGACGCUGAGGCAUGAAAGCGUGGGGAGCAAACA
rnacentral:rRNA from 1 species